UGCGACGGGCUGAAUGCGCGCGCAGCUCUUGCCGCGCGUGCGCAUUCAGCCCAGGAGGAGGAACGGAGGCGGAGAGGAGGAGGAGAGCUCUCCGCCCAGCGCUGGAAAAAGGUAAGUUUUAACCCCUUUCCCCUUUCCAGAGCCGGGCGGGAGGGGGUCCCUGAGGGUGGGGGCACCCUCAGGGCACUAUAGUGCCAGGAAAACGAGUAUGUUUUCCUGGCACUAUAGUGGUCCUUUAA